rnacentral:rRNA from 1 species
UGCGCAGGCGGUUUUAUAAGCCAGAUGUGAAAUCCCCGGGCUUAACCUGGGAAUGGCAUUUGGGACUGUAAGGCUAGAGUACGGCAGAGGAGACUAGAAUUCCUGGUGUAGCAGUGAAAUGCGUAGAUAUCAGGAGGAAUACCGAUGGCGAAGGCAGGUCUCUGGGUCGAUACUGACGCUCAUGCACGAAAGCGUGGGGAGCAAACAGGAUUAGAUACCCUGGUAGUCCACGCCCUAAACGAUGUCAACUGGUUGUUGGGGAAUUGAUUUCCUUAGUAACGAAGCUAACGCGUGAAGUUGACCGCCUGGGGAGUACGGUCGCAAGAUUAAA